rnacentral:rRNA from 1 species
UGGGGAAUUGUUCGCAAUGGGCGCAAGCCUGACGACGCAACGCCGCGUGGAGGAUGAAGAUUUUCGGAUCGUAAACUCCCGUCGAAUGGGACGAAUAGGUUGCGGGUUAACAGCCCGUGAUCCUGACGGUACCGUUAAAGGAAACCCCGGCUAACUCCGUGCCAGCAGCCGCGGUAAUACGGGGGGGUAAGCGUUGUUCGGAAUUACUGGGCGUAAAGGGCUCGUAGGCGGCCAACUAAGUCAGACGUGAAAUCCCUCAGCUUAACUGGGGAACUGCGUCUGAUACUGGAUGGCUUGGAUCCGGGAGAGGGAUGCGGAAUUCCAGGUGUAGCGGUGAAAUGCGUAGAUAUCUGGAGGAACACCGGUGGCGAAGGCGGCAUCCUGGACCGGUAUUGACGCUGAGGAGCGAAAGCCAGGGGAGCAAACGGGAUUAGAUACCCCGGUAGUCCUGGCCCUAAACGAUGAAUGCUUGGUGUAGCGGGUAUCGAUCCCUGCUGUGCCGAAGCUAACGCAUUAAG